rnacentral:rRNA from 1 species
UCNGGGGGCAAGUCUGGUGCCAGCAGCCGCGGUAAUUCCAGCUCCAAUAGCGUAUAUUAAAGUUGUUGCAGUUAAAAAGCUCGUAGUUGAAUUUCGGGAUCAAAUUGUCGGUCGUGCCUCGGUACGUACUGGCGUUAUUGGUUCCUCCCUUCUGAAGAACCGCGAUGUCAUUAAUUUGGUGUCGCGGGGAAUCAGGACUGUUACUUUGAAAAAAUUAGAGUGUUUAAAGCAGGCUCGCGCUUGAAUACAUUAGCAUGGAAUAAUGAAAUAGGACGUUUGAUUCUAUUUUGUUGGUUUCUAGGAUCGACGUAAUGAUUAAUAGGGAUAGUUGGGGGCAUUAGUAUUCAAUUGUCAGAGGUGAAAUUCUUGGAUUUAUUGAAGACUAACUACUGCGAAAGCAUUUGCCAAGGAUGUUUUCAUUAAUCAAGAACGAAAGUUGGGGGAUCGAAGACGAUCAGAUACCGUCGUAGUCUUAACCAUAAACUAUGCCGACUAGGGAUCGGAUGAU